GAGACUUAAGGAAGCUGUCAACCUUUGGCAAUGGAGGCCAGACUGUAGUGACCAUUAAUAUUAUUAGUCUAUGAUGAUAACUUAUAUGUCAGGACAGGACUGUUCAGCUUUAAUGUGAUGUUGUCCAUCUUACCAUAUAGAAAUCACUUUUUGUAGCCUCAUGCUAACAUAGCAUUUUGAUCCAAAUGGAGGCUAAGACCCUAAAUGCUGCGUUUAAAUGACUUCACACAUCGGUGGAGUUAAGGUCAUCUGGGCUAAGUGCCAAAUACCUGCAGUUUUAAGCAUCGAUGCUAAUCAUUUGGCUGGCUGGUAGCGAGUGGGAAUUCUAACUGCUUGUUAGCUGGUGAAGAAACAGGUGGUUAGCACAAGUGGCUCAUGGGAGGUAAUGCUAAUGCAGCGGUGAUAGCAUAAAGUCUUCACACGCCAGUGGACACAGUUCAAUAAAGAAGCAUCUGUUGGUGUGAUGUUUCAACCAACACAUGUGUGUGUGUGUGUGUGUGUGUGUGCACCUUUAUGGCUUGAGAGCAGCACAGUGUAAUGUUGAGCGUGACGUUGACAGCUCUGUACAUUAUGUGCUUGACCUCAGUGAACCCUCGGCGACGUUAAUGCUCAGUCACGCGUGCUGACACAAACCUGAAGGUGGUGGUAAGUGGAGUCCACUGAGAAUAACCUGCAGUGGCUUUGUGCCACUGUGUGACAUGGCUGUGGGCCCCGUGAUUCAUAACCGAAGGUGCGUCUGUGACUGCGUCGCGACAGAGCCGCAGCCAGAGCAAGGGCACACUUUGUCAUCAGUAGUAACAAGAAAUCCCACUCGCUGACUUUGCUACUACAACCGACCAAAUUGUUAUUCAGAGCUGCACAUGGUGGCUCCUUAGGACAAGCGUCCAUGUUGGCUGAGCCGCGAUGUUCUUUUCGCCUACGACUGCUUGUUGCAGUGAUAGUUUGCCAUGUCAUCCUCCCAUGCAUGUUGCACUUUGGCCCGAGGAGGCCGUCGCUCUCCUGAGAGCCAUUUGCAGUCAUUUUUUAGCAGCUACAGCUCUGACAGCGAGAUUCAUCGAUAUUUAGUGGCCGAGAUUUGAUUUUAAUGGGGCGCAAUGUGAUAAUUCAUCACUUGUGGAUGUUUAGUUUAAUUUAAAUGGACACUAAUCUCUUGCAUAUUGAAGAUUUAGGUGAUAAACUUUAAUCAUGUUAAUGGCCUUUCAGCUGGAUUGAAAUGUUCUUUAUUAUAUGAUUUCUUACAGUAUGUUGUAUAUUAAAGGGUAAUUGCCUGAGAUCUGUGUAUGUGCUUUGCUUCCAUAUAAAACUGCUUCUCUCUGUUUUUAUUUAAUCAAGAUUAUUGCUGAUGUCUCCGUCAGUGUUCUCAUAUAUAUUUGUGUGAUUUUUUCUUUAUUUCAAUGUUUGACCUUUAUGCUGAAAAUGCUCCUUCCCUCACUGAAAUGACGGACGCUGGAGAGGACGUACGACCCUAAAGUUUGUUUUUUAUCCAUCCAGCUGUUAAUGAAUUUAAAUGGAUUUAAGCUUGAACUGCGCCCCCAAAGCCCCUCUCCCUUUUUUCACUGGUAAGCUGCUGCUUUUGCAAUUCCCUUAUGUAAUGCCACUAUGAGCUCGAGCCCUCGCUCGCUGUCUCUUACUCACUCUUUUUCUACAUAUCUUUCUGCCUCAAAUUUUUUCUGUUUUUAUUUGUUCAACUUGGUGAACAAACACUGACCUGGAGCAACUCAGUGUCUAGCCGGUGAGCUCAAAAAGGGCUGCAGGCUUGCUCUCCAUUGUUUGGCUGCUCUGCGCACUGUCUGUACACUGUGUCCCCAUGGCAGAGGCAGACGUGGAGGAUAGACAGACAGACAGACAGACACACACACACAGAGCGAGAAAGAGCGACCAGUCUGAAUUUAUUUUCUUCUUCUCUUUGCAUUAAAAGAAUAUGGGCCGUUCACUGUCCUCUUGACAAAGUACAGAUGAUGCAGUUUGUAUCUGGAGAACCUGUGAGCGUUACUCUGAGCGGAUCUAACAUUUCAAACGUAUUUGACCAAAACGUGGUUGGAAAUGUUUCCGUCUUUGAUUCGGAUUUGUGCAGCUGCUUUUAACACGACAGUCAGUAAAAACUGCUUUUGUGGUUUGAAAUAUUGGCCUUUCCUGGUUCAUGGGUUUAAUCUGAAUAUUCUGGCAGGCAGCUGUUUAGUGGAUGAACCUUUGUUAAGAAAGACUGCGUUAGGUGCAGUGAGCAUGCAGAGGAUGAGUGUGGUCACCAGGGCAGUUCAGGUGAAGGCAAAGGUGCUGUAAAUGUAUUGACUUGGAGCACGGUUACGCCCCAAACCACGUCAGGACAAUGGUAGCAAUGUUGGCUCAAAGUAGAAGUUGAAUUAUCGAUCAAAAAGAUCAAUCGGUACAUUUUGAAAUGCAAUGUAGUGAGAGAGUGACAGACUGCAGCAGGACUGGUUUCACCAAGCAUUCUGCAGCUUUUCUUUUCUGCCACUCCCUUCAAUGUACAGCCUGCUCUCAGCUGCAGGCGAGAUAAACACUUGCAUCAGUAAUCAGAGCAGGUCAGGGUAUGUGUGUGUGUGUGUGUGUGCUCUUCCAGCAGUAGCUGUGUGUGUAGCAGUGCUGAACACUGCAGAGGGGUUUACUACGCCUUUCUUCCAAUCUGUCGGUGAAGAUGGCGUUGCAGCACUGCCUGUGCCCCCUCCCACGCUGGCUACAAGCCACUACGUAUGGUCGAGGAAAGCCGAGGAGGUCAUUUUUAGAAUAGUUGCACACCUGUGGCCUAUUUACUCACCGCAUAGCUGAAAUUGCUGAGGCAUUUCUCAGUACUGUAGCUUGGCCGACUUUACCAGAUUUAGAAUUUGGGGCAGCUCCUGUACUUUCAUCAUAUUUACUUGUUUUUUCUUCUUAGUCUGUGUAUUAGCUGCCAAAGUCUGUGCUGUUUCGUGUGCAGUCUGAGCGGUUUCAAAUGUGCUGGUGUGGCGAACGAGAACACCGUGUGUGCUUGUGUAUCUGUCCUUCCUUACGCUGGCUCAAGCCAGUUUAAAGGACUUUUUGCGCAGGCACAUCACACCAGCAGAUUAACCAGACUACACACUAACCUCAUUAAUCUGAGAGAGACUAAUGUCACCGACAAUGUGUCAGCAGGCGCAACACACACACGCACAUGCACAGACACACACAAAGCUGUUCUUUGUCUUUAUCAACCAGAGAGCCAGGUAUUGAUGACUGGAGGCCAAGGCAGAGCCUGUCCACUCCUCUUCCUCAGCGGGCCUCAGUAUCACUGUUGUAAAGACAGACUGGAAAUCCCCUGAUGAAUCAACAUAACACUUUGCUGCCUCAUCCAAUAGCUGCAGUGUUUUGGGCAUUUAAAGGAAUGGUUUAAUCCUGUUGGCUGCCUUUACCAUUUUGGAUUUUCUUUUUUUUAUCAUUAUUAUUAUUAUUAUUAUUAUUAUUAUUAUUGUUGUUAUUUAUUUGCCUGAACAGCCUGGAAGUUGUGCCAGUUUGUGUCCUUUUAAACUGAGAUGGCAAGAUGUUUGAAUGUUUCUUUUGUGGGAAGAUAAAUAAUAAUCUUUGUGGAAUUUACUUUUUCAUGACAAACUGGUCUCUGGUUUAGAGCUGCAACACUUAUUUUUAUUAAAGGAAAAUGCCAAACACUUGAUGCUGCAGCUGUAAACUGCAUAACUAUGGAUUUAAGAGUGCUGGUCAGAUGAAGAAAAUGGAAAAUAUAGUUAUAUCUUAUCUUAUUAUAGCUUUUUUCUAAACAUUUUAUGACAAAAUAUUUGUUGGAUUAAUAGAGAAAACUAUCAAUUUAACAAUCAACAAUAGUCUACAGGUAGUUUACUGCAUGAAACGUAUCUGAUCACUGAACAAUAAUAAUUAGCCAGUUAUGAUAAUCUAAUUCUCAUUAAGUUUCCCCAAUGUGCUGCUUCUUGUUCAAUUCUAUUCAAUUAAAUGAAGUAGUUAUUUAUUAUUGCUAACCUUAUUUUGUAGUUUCUGUAUAGCCACAUGUUUCUUUGUUAGCAUCCUGUUGUUUUUUUAUGUCUGCUGUUAUAUUUCUAUCAACGUACAAUCCAGGACUCCCAGGUCAGUGUCGUUGUGUGUCCAGUCAUACUUGGUUAAUAAAGUUUUUUUUUGUAGUUUAUUAUUUUUAUACUUGCACAUUUGAUUAAAUCCUCCUCCCACUCAUUGAAUGAUAAUUUGUUAAGCAUUUGUCUGUCUUACAAAAUCACUAUGUUCAUUAUGUGAUGUGGAUGAUAUCUGAUUAAAAUCAAACAAACAAAUACAUAGCCAUACUAAUUUGCUUUUGUGCUUUGUAUUAUAGGUGGUCAUUUAUCCAUGCCCUGUUGUGACCUGUCUAUAACCUAAGGUCAGGAAAAUCACCACCAUCUUCCUCUCACAACAGUCUUUGCUUACUUUAUGUUCAGCUCCCGUGUCUCGUAUUUUACGUCUGUCUGACCUGUGAAUGUUUCAAAUGUUAUUAUUAUUAUUAUUAUUUGUCAACUUUGUUUCGUGCAUCUAGUGUGUCAUUCCAUCUAAAGUGACAACAUACUGUUCAGCUCAGUCACAGUGAAUUUCAUGUGCGGUCUGUAAAGUUUAUACUUUGUAAAGUCUUGUUCAUACAGUACGUUUUAUAUUUGAGAUAAUGUUAAGUAAAACCUCUGUGAUGUGACUGGAACUGGAACUCUGAAAUAAACUCAUCAAACACAACCAUGUCUAAUAAAUACUGAUUUUUUUGUGUGCUUUAAGAACAGGAAAGAUUAUUUAUGACAGUUUCCCAAUAUCUCAUGAUAAACGUGGCGGUGAUAUGGGAGACGAACAGUGAGUGCAGUGUGAGACAGUUGUAUCUAAAUAAAGUCCUGCUGCUGUCAUUUCACAUGAUUAUCACUUCUUUCCACAGUCGUGCUUAUUAAUAGAGGCUCUAAAUGAAUGGUGAGAUUUUGCUGUCUGACGUGUUUUGCAUUUUAUCUUUGGAGGUAUCUUUUAUGCCUUUUUAAGAGCUUAAAUCUGUUUCAACAAGAUUAAUUCCUUGGCAUGACGUGUGUUUCUGCACAACUGCCAAGACGUUUUACAACCUCUCCUCUGCUAACAAUAUACAUUAAGCAGUAAAUGGACAGAAAUACAGGCAUCCAAAAAGACAGCUGACAAGCAGCGCCUCAGAAGUGAGUAUGCUCACAUAAAUGGAUGUAAGCAUUUUAUAUGUUUAUUUGUUAAACAAUGCCACAACUAUGCAUUAUUCCCACUUACAUGAUUAAUUAAUGUGUGUCAUGGUAAUUACCUGCAUAAACACUGUAAAUAAUGAAUUAGUUAUGCAAAUGUACAUUUAAUUUUAAGUAUUGAAAUAUUCAUUAAUGCUUUCCCUGUCAGCAAAUAAAAGCAAAUGCACAUUUAACCCCUCUCCUCAUGCACUUUAUGAUGUAAGAUGUGUCCUGAUUCUGCUCCAGCACCUUUGUCUUUGUCUCACUUGCAGCUUCAUGAAACAGGUUGAGACAUGUCAGAAUGGUCCAAGAACAUGAGAAAGAUACGACACACUGUGGUCAUGUCAUCUGCCCGCUCUCGCUCACACACACACACACACAUUUAUCACACAUAUCAACUAAAACGUACAUCUGUACUACAGAUACAUGUGACAGGCAUCCACAGUUAAUGAAAAACAUGUGUUUGUAAAUAUCAUAACACCAGUAGCUGUGACGAUUUGAUUUAGAUCAACACACAGGCUAACAGUGUGCUGUAUGCUAUUUGGCAUAUUAGUCAUAUUAGGCUGAAUGAUAUGCUAAUGCUCCAGCAAACACUGCCUUUUUGACAUGUAGACAUACACUGUACACUGCUUAAUGAGAGUUGAUAGUUUUUAACCACUUUAGCAUAAGUAUAAAGCUCAAGGCUAACAUUUUAGCAGAGAAAGUACUUGAUACUCAGCAGCGCUAGUCAGCUAAUAGUAUUCUAGGAAAUAUUGCUACAUGCUAACAUUUUAGCACUUAAUGUGCUUAAAACUACGCAUUAUACGAAACAUGUGUUCACUAUUAUUUUUAUAUUCUUGGAAAUGUUGCCCCAAGCAAGCAAACACAAUGUGCUAGUCGACUAUUUUAGUAUGCUGGGAAAUAUUACCACAUGUUAACAUAUUAGCACAAAGUAUGCUCAACACAGGCGUCAUACAAUUCUAUUAAACAAUGUUUUGUUCUAGUCUAUUAAUAUUUGAGUAUUCCAGGAUAUUUUAGCACAGGCUAACAUUUUAGUUGCGUUGUGAAAUUCACCGUUAACGCUUUUGUAGCAUAGUUUGCGAAGCUCAAAUUUCGUCUGGACAAACAUCAUCUUUUUUGUUUUUUGACUUUGUGGUUGCACACAAAGCAAAGAAGUAAACACUGAUGGAUAUUAACUUCUGGAGGACAUCAACACAAAAAUAACAGUGACUGAAAAAGAUAAAUGUUGCCUGUUGUUUGCGCCAACACUCUUUGAUUCAGGAUGAAAUAUGUUUCUCUUUAACCAGAUGUUGUUACAACCUUCUCAACAGCUGUCGGCCAUGACUGAGUGUUCAUGCUGACAGUGCUGUCAACAGUCCAGCAGGAGGGAACCUCUGCAGGCUUUAGUGUGAGGUGGCUCCUCUGCAGGAGCUCAUAUCCAUGUUGAAGACGUAUAACAUCCAGAACAGGAUGGACAUGAAUGCAGGACGUCUGUAUGUAAUUGUCAUCAUCGUGAGAAAGGGAACAUUUUCAUUAAUAAUUCUAAUAAAAAUGUAAAAACAUAACAAUAUCUUAUCAACAUACUGUAGGUCUAUGUUGAAGCUGUAGCUUGGGCCAAACCCUGAUCUUGAUCCAUGCUGAAACUGUGAGAACCAGACUGACCUUGGCAGAGGUUUCUUAUAUAUCUUAAUGUUUUUAUCAUAAUAUGACUUAAUAUGAUUUUUUUUGAUUAAAGCUGUUGGAUUUU